rnacentral:rRNA from 1 species
GAUGAACGCUGGCGGCGUGCCUAACACAUGCAAGUCGAGCGAUUCUCUUCGGAGAAGAGCGGCGGACGGGUGAGUAACGCGUGGGUAACCUGCCCUGUACACACGGAUAACAUACCGAAAGGUAUGCUAAUACGGGAUAACAUAUUUUGAUGGCAUCAUCGAAAUAUCAAAGCUCCGGCGGUACAGGAUGGACCCGCGUCUGAUUAGCUAGUUGGUGAGGUAAUGGCUCACCAAGGCGACGAUCAGUAGCCGACCUGAGAGGGUGAUCGGCCACAUUGGAACUGAGACACGGUCCAAACUCCUACGGGAGGCAGCAGUGGGGAAUAUUGCACAAUGGGCGAAAGCCUGAUGCAGCAACGCCGCGUGAGCGAUGAAGGCCUUCGGGUCGUAAAGCUCUGUCCUCAAGGAAGAUAAUGACGGUACUUGAGGAGGAAGCCCCGGCUAACUACGUGCCAGCAGCCGCGGUAAUACGUAGGGGGCUAGCGUUAUCCGGAAUUACU